rnacentral:rRNA from 1 species
UACGUAUGGGGCAAGCGUUAUCCGGAUUUACUGGGUGUAAAGGGAGCGUAGACGGUACGGCAAGCCCGAUGUGAAAACCCGCAGCUCAACUGCGGGAUUGCAUUAGGAACUGUCGAACUAGAGUGUCGGAGAGGUAAGUGGAAUUCCUAGUGUAGCGGUGAAAUGCGUAGAUGUUAGGAGGAACACCAGUGGCGAAGGCGGCUUACUGGACGAUGACUGACGUUGAGGCUCGAAAGCGUGGGGAGCAAAC